GCCCGUCUCCCUCCGUCGUCUUCCGUUCCUCCUCCUCGUGCUUCUUCUUCUUCUUACAGUUGAUUCCUCGUCGUCAUCAAGUCGUCCAAGAAAAAUUCUGAAGCUUCGAUAGGAAAAAGGGUUUCUCCCCUUCUCUCCGACGCUUCUCGGGCAGCGGAUUCGUGUCCGAUCGGUCUCCUGUUGCCUUACAAUGGCGGACUGUAAGGAGAGCGGACAUGAUUGGGAAGUCGUAUCACUUACUGCUUCAACAUAUGCAGCUUCUCCGGGUCCCAAAGUUGUCAAGCUGGCUGAUGAUGACAAAAGUACUGUCCCCAGUGAGGAUGAACCAGAAACCUCUAAUGCUUUGUUCAUGUCUCGUCACUUUGUUUUUCUUCCCAAUCGAGAAGACAAUUCUUCCCCAGAAAUUUCAACUCUUAAUAUCACUGAAAAACAAAAAGGCGAAGAUGGUUUUGGUCAACUGGAUGCAGAAGUAAGUCGAUAUAGGGUAAAGGAUGAAACUGAGUGGGCUUUCAAGGAUAAGACUCUGUCAGAUGGAUUUCCAGGAAUGCAAUUCCUUUCGGAGAAGGAUAACAUACUUCCCAUUCAUAAUACAGAAUUUGGAGAAGGCAAAACUGUACAAGAUUUUGGUUUGGUGGACAAAGAGCAGAGCUUAUAUGAUCCUACCUUUAGCUCUUUGCAUGGAGAUACAGCUCCUGGGAAGGAUACAAUCACUUCUGACAUGGUUGAAACUUCUGAAGACCACUCAGAUUCCUCAUCACAGACAUUACAUUUGUCGAAAGCAAUAGAAGAUGAUGAUUUACGUGGGUCUAACCUUCCUUGCGGUGCUUGGUGGAAGAGAAGGGCUGCUUCUUUGUUUGCCCAAGCCAAAGAGGCAAAUGCCUUCUGGUCUGUCUUCAUUGCUGCAGCCGUGAUGGGUUUUGUAAUUCUGGGUCACAGGUGGCAGCAUGAGAGAUGGCAAGCUUUGCAACUUAAAUGGCACGUGAGCAUCAGCAAUGAGAAUACAAAUGAAGCUCAAGUCUUUCUGUUAACACUCUGAUCAUUGUUACUUUCUGCUCUCUAGUGACGGUGUCGAUGUUUCAGAAUGAUGAUGACGAAAAAGAGUAGGAUAUUUGGCCCUGUAUCUCAGAUUAAAGUUGGUCAUCGGUGAAGACGGACAUGGUGGCAGCUCCAGCUCCGUUAGAGCUGGGAGAGAGAGAGCGAGGGAGUUGACUGUAGAAUCUGUCCAGUGUGGUUCGAGCGUUACUACUGUGUAAGUAUAUCUGUGAUGAAGCAAUCUACUUGUAUUAUAAAAGUUUGGUAAUUUAAGACUUGUAGUGCUACUGUUUUUACUCCGUUGUGCGUCGAAGGCCGAUGACGUCUUACGCUCUACCCACCUCAAGGUAGACGCAGCGGGAAGGGCGUUUUCUCAUGUUUUCUAUUCAAGAACCAAUAGUUGCUGUAAUAAUUUAAAUUAAAUGGCUUUCACUGUUUGAGUGUUGGA